CGCCUACGGGUGGCAGCAGUAGGGAAUAUUGGACAAUGGGCGAAAGCCUGAUCCAGCAAUGCCGCGUGAGUGACGAAGGAUUUCGGUCUGUAAAGCUCUUUUGUGAGGGAAGAAAUGACAUGUGAGGAAAUGCUCAUGUCUUGACGGUACCUCAUGAAUAAGGGACGGCUAACUCCGUGCCAGCAGCCGCGGUAAUACGGAGGUCCCAAGCGUUGUUCGGAAUUACUGGGCGUAAAGGGAGCGCAGGCGGACAGGUAAGUCUAAAGUGGAAUCCCGGGGCUCAACCUCGGAACUGCUUCGGAUACUGCCUGUCUUGAGUUCGUGAGAGGAAAGCGGAAUUCAGGGUGUAGCGGUGAAAUGCUUAGAUAUCCUGAGGAACACCAAUGGCGAAGGCAGCUUUCUGGCGCGAUACUGACGCUGAGGCUCGAAAGCGUGGGGAGCGAACGGGAUUAGAUACCCCGGUAGUCCACGCCGUAAACGUUGUGCGCUAGGUGUAGGAGGUAUCGACCCCUUCUGUGCCGCAGCUAACGCAUUAAGCGCACCGCCUGGGGAGUACGGUCGCAAGACUGAAACUCAAAGGAAUUGACGGGGGCCCGCACAAGCGGUGGAGCAUGUGGUUUAAUUCGAGGCAACGCGAAGAACCUUACCAGACUUGACAUCCCAGGACAGCUUAUGAAAGUAAGUCUUCCCUUCGGGGACCUGGAGACAGGUGUUGCAUGGCUGUCGUCAGCUCGUGUCGUGAGAUGUUGGGUUAAGUCCCGCAACGAGCGCAACCCCUAUUCUUAGUUACCAUCGGGUAAUGCCGGGCACUCUAAGAAGACCGCCGGUGAUAAACCGGAGGAAGGCGGGGACGACGUCAAGUCAUCAUGGCCCUUACGUCUGGGGCUACACACGUGCUACAAUGGCCGGUACAAUGGGCUGCAAUACCGCGAGGUGGAGCCAACCCCAAAAAACCGGUCUCAGUUCGGAUUGGAGUCUGCAACUCGACUCCAUGAAGCCGGAAUCGCUAGUAAUCGAGGAUCAGCUACGCCUCGGUGAAUACGUUCCCGGGCCUCGUACACACCGCCCGUCACAUGACCCGAGUCGGUUGCACCCGAAGUCACUGGCCUAACCCGCAAGGGAAGGAGGUGCCGAAGGUGUGAUUGGUGAGGGGGAUGAAGUCGUAACAAGGUAGCCGUAUCGGAAGGUGCGGCUG
rnacentral:rRNA from 1 species